UACGUAGGGUGCAAGCGUUAAUCGGAAUUACUGGGCGUAAAGCGUGCGCAGGCGGUUAUGCAAGACAGAUGUGAAAUCCCCGGGCUCAACCUGGGAACUGCAUUUGUGACUGCAUCGCUGGAGUGCGGCAGAGGGGGAUGGAAUUCCGCGUGUAGCAGUGAAAUGCGUAGAUAUGCGGAGGAACACCGAUGGCGAAGGCAGCCUCCUGGGCCAGCACUGACGCUCAUGCACGAAAGCGUGGGGAGCAAACAGG
rnacentral:rRNA from 1 species